rnacentral:lncRNA from 1 species
AUGAGGAAACUGUAUUUGCUCACCACCCCUGCUCAAGUUAGCCGCCUUCAGGGACCUCCAAACCAGCCAUCGCUCGGCGUAACUUACAGCUGGCGCUCCGGCUACCCUUCGCCCUCCGCCUCGAUCACUUUUUACAGCUCAAUCCCGUGCUCGAUGCGAGAACCUUGCCACCGGACCCCGACACGGCAACUCCACCCGCCGACACCCCCGGGGCCCCCCCAGGGCCCCCAGCCCCGCGCCGCUCCCGCAGCUGCCCCGGUCAGUCUCCGGGGAGCAGCAGCAGCAGCAGCACAUCCCUGCGGGUCGGAGCCCCGCGGUACCGGAUCUUUGUCUGCGGGCACGGCAAGGCUCCCUCCCAGCGGCUGGACCCCGUGCCGGGCUGCCGAGGCUCCUCCAGUGAGAACUCCACUUUAGAAAAAACACUGAAGGAAAACAGCGUGGUCAUCAGAUUCACAUUUGGUUUCACUGGUGACUCUCCCCAUCCUCCUGCCAGUUCUGAGCUGAACACAAAAGGAACAGCUUUCCAGGAAGAGAGGUGUAAUAAAACAGGUGAUUUUCAAAAAGCA